rnacentral:rRNA from 1 species
GAUGAACGCUGGCGGCGUGCCUAAUACAUGCAAGUCGAGCGAAUGGAUUAAGAGCUUGCUCUUAUGAAGUUAGCGGCGGACGGGUGAGUAACACGUGGGUAACCUGCCCAUAAGACUGGGAUAACUCCGGGAAACCGGGGCUAAUACCGGAUAACAUUUUGAACCGCAUGGUUCGAAAUUGAAAGGCGGCUUCGGCUGUCACUUAUGGAUGGACCCGCGUCGCAUUAGCUAGUUGGUGAGGUAACGGCUCACCAAGGCAACGAUGCGUAGCCGACCUGAGAGGGUGAUGGGCCACACUGGGACUGAGACACGGCCCAGACUCCUACGGGAGGCAGCAGUAGGGAAUCUUCCGCAAUGGACGAAAGUCUGACGGGGCAACGCCGCGUGAGUGAUGAAGGCUUUCGGGUCGUAAAACUCUGUUGUUAGGGAAGAACAAGUGCUAGUUGAAUAAGCUGGCACCUUGACGGUACCUAACCAGAAAGCCACGGCUAACUACGUGCCAGCAGCCGCGGUAA